UACGUAGGUGGCAAGCGUUGUCCGGAAUUAUUGGGCGUAAAGCGCGCGCAGGCGGUUCUUUAAGUCUGAUGUGAAAGCCCACGGCUCAACCGUGGAGGGUCAUUGGAAACUGGGGAACUUGAGUACAGAAGAGGAAAGCGGAAUUCCACGUGUAGCGGUGAAAUGCGUAGAGAUGUGGAGGAACACCAGUGGCGAAGGCGACUUUCUGGGCUGUAACUGACGCUGAGGCGCGAAAGCGUGGGGAGCAAACAGG
rnacentral:rRNA from 1 species